ACUCAAAUGAAUAGACGGGGGCCCGCACAAGCGGUGGAGCAUGUGGUUUAAUUCGACGCUACGCGAAGAACCUUACCUACUUUUGAAUCCUAGGAAUUUAACAGAGAUGUUGAAGUGCCGUGAGGAGCCUAGAGACAGGUGCUGCAUGGCUGUCGUCAGCUCGUGUCGUGAGAUGUUGGGUUAAGUCCCGUAACGAGCGCAACCCUAAUCCUUAGUUACCAGCAUGCAAGAUGGGGACUCUAGGGAGACUGCCGGUGAUAAACCGGAGGAAGGUUAGGACGAUGUCAAGUCAUCAUGGCCCUUACAAGUAGGGCUACACACGUGCUACAAUGGGUGUUACAAAGGGAAGCGAAAUCGCGAGAUGGAGCAAAACCUAGAAAAGCACUCUUAGUCCGGAUUGCAGUCUGCAACUCGACUGCAUGAAGCUGGAAUCGCUAGUAAUCGUAGAUCAGCACGCUACGGUGAAUACGUUCUCGGGCCUUGUACACACCGCCCGU
rnacentral:rRNA from 1 species